AUGGCGUGGGCUCGCAGUCGCGGGAGGAGGAGAGGAGUGGAGAGGCGGGGGCGGUCGGCAGAGCAGAUCGAGGUGGGAUGGGAAGUGAGAAGAAGGAAGAAAGGUGAAAACUUUUACGAGGCUGACGACUUUAUGAUUGGGUUGGGAGCCGCGCGCGCCCUCGUGUCCGAGACGAGAAAGAUGCGUAUGCACCGUCAGUCACAUGGCAGGAUGCCCUCACCAGCCGUUCGAUCGACCGCCAUAAAAAAUGGGCUUCUGGAGCACUGUUUGCAACGCUGGAUUGAUUGCUCGAGCUGUUUCUGCUGA
rnacentral:rRNA from 1 species